GACGAACGCUGGCGGCGUGCUUAACACAUGCAAGUCGAACGGAAAGGCCCUGCUUUUGUGGGGUGCUCGAGUGGCGAACGGGUGAGUAACACGUGAGUAACCUGCCCUUGACUUUGGGAUAACUUCAGGAAACUGGGGCUAAUACCGGAUAGGAGCUCCUGCUGCAUGGUGGGGGUUGGAAAGUUUCGGCGGUUGGGGAUGGACUCGCGGCUUAUCAGCUUGUUGGUGGGGUAGUGGCUUACCAAGGCUUUGACGGGUAGCCGGCCUGAGAGGGUGACCGGCCACAUUGGGACUGAGAUACGGCCCAGACUCCUACGGGAGGCAGCAGUGGGGAAUAUUGCACAAUGGGCGGAAGCCUGAUGCAGCAACGCCGCGUGCGGGAUGGCGGCCUUCGGGUUGUAAACCGCUUUCGCCUGUGACGAAGCGUGAGUGACGGUAAUGGGUAAAGAGGCACCGGCUAACUACGUGCCAGCAGCCGCGGUGAUACGUAGGGUGCGAGCGUUGUCCGGAUUUAUUGGGCGUAAAGGGCUCGUAGGUGGUUGAUCGCGUCGGAAGUGUAAUCUUGGGGCUUAACCCUGAGCGUGCUUUCGAUACGGGUUGACUUGAGGAAGGUAGGGGAGAAUGGAAUUCCUGGUGGAGCGGUGGAAUGCGCAGAUAUCAGGAGGAACACCAGUGGCGAAGGCGGUUCUCUGGGCCUUUCCUGACGCUGAGGAGCGAAAGCGUGGGGAGCGAACAGGCUUAGAUACCCUGGUAGUCCACGCUGUAAACGGUGGGUACUAGGUGUGGGGUCCAUUCCACGGGUUCCGUGCCGUAGCUAACGCUUUAAGUACCCGCCUGGGGAGUACGGCCGCAAGGCUAAAACUCAAAGGAAUUGACGGGGCCCCGCACAAGCGGCGGAGCAUGCGGAUUAAUUCGAUGCAACGCGUAGAACCUUACCUGGGUUUGACAUGGAUCGGGAGUGCUCAGAGAUGGGUGUGCCUCUUUUGGGGUCGGUUCACAGGUGGUGCAUGCCUGUCGUCAGCUCGUGUCGUGAGAUGUUGGGUUAAGUCCCGCAACGAGCGCAACCCUUGUUCACUGUUGCCAGCACGUUAUGGUGGGGACUCAGUGGAGACCGCCGGGGUCAACUCGGAGGAAGGUGGGGAUGACGUCAAGUCAUCAUGCCCCUUAUGUCCAGGGCUUCACGCAUGCUACAAUGGCUGGUACAGAGAGUGGCGAGCCUGUGAGGGUGAGCGAAUCUCGGAAAGCCGGUCUCAGUUCGGAUUGGGGUCUGCAACUCGACCUCAUGAAGUCGGAGUCGCUAGUAAUCGCAGAUCAGCAACGCUGCGGUGAAUGCGUUCCCGGG
rnacentral:rRNA from 1 species